rnacentral:rRNA from 1 species
CGGCGGAGCGGCGCUCUGGUCAGGUUCCUCUGCUUCGAGGGCGACGCGUGGGCUGAUGUCGAGGGCGAGGCGGUUGUGCCUCUGCGCCGGGCGUUCCUGGACGGGAGGGUGGUCGCAGAGGCCGUGUAUGGUGGCAGGGAGUUCCUGUUCGACUUCCUGUGGAUGGUGCGCAUCGACGCUGGCACCGCCGAGGUGGUCGCCAUGGGCUGGAUUGACCGCGGGGCCUGCUUCUUCCCUGUGCCUUCACAGAUGAUUUGA